rnacentral:lncRNA from 1 species
AGACAAGAUGACUAACGAAAAGGGAAUUAUGAGAUGAUUGAAAUGGGUGUCAGCUCAUAUAAGUGGGCAUUCGAGGCCAAGUGGUAUAAGAAUGGUAUGGGACGUGCAGGUCUGUUUGUCCAGUUAUAUGAAUUAACGGGAGUAGAUGAAGAGCAUUCAUUCAUGCAUUAUUAUUAAUAAUGUGAUAUUUAGCUGUGUGAUUACAUGUCACUUAAUUUAGUCAUAUCAAUCUACUGUGGUGAGGUCUCAUGUCCCUACUGAGCGGUGGUUUCUCAUCCAUCACCCUGUCUAAUUUUUCGGAUGAAUUAGUGGGCAAGACAGGGACUAAAACAGUUGAGGCUGAACUAGAUGAGAGUGAUAGAGCUUUUUUUUUUUUUUUAAUUGUAAAGUUUUAAGAUUUUGG